rnacentral:rRNA from 1 species
AUUGAACGCUGGCGGAAUGCUUUACACAUGCAAGUCGAACGGUAGAGGGGGGCAACCCCUUGAGAGUGGCGAACGGGUGAGUAAUAUAUCGGAACGUGCCCAGUCGUGGGGAUAACGUAGCGAAAGUUACGCUAAUACCGCAUACGAUCUAAGGAUGAAAGCGGGGGAUCGCAAGACCUCGCGCGAUUGGAGCGGCCGAUAUCAGAUUAGGUAGUUGGUGAGGUAAAGGCUCACCAAGCCAACGAUCUGUAGCUGGUCUGAGAGGACGACCAGCCACACUGGAACUGAGACACGGUCCAGACUCCUACGGGAGGCAGCAGUGGGGAAUUUUGGACAAUGGACGCAAGUCUGAUCCAGCCAUUCCGCGUGCAGGAUGAAGGCCCUCGGGUUGUAAACUGCUUUGUACGGAACGAAAAGGUUUGUCUUAAUACGAUGAGCUCAUGACGGUACCGUAAGAAUAAGCACCGGCUAACUACGUAGCCAGCAGCCGCGGUAAA